rnacentral:misc_RNA from 1 species
AAAGUCGUAACAAGGUAACCGUAGGUGAACCUGCGGUUGGAUCAUUAAUGAAAAGGGGGGGGCGGUCACAAGCCACCCACCUGUUCAAACCCGUGCAAUCAUGCAGACUGUCUUUUUCUUUCUCCGUUCUUUGGAUGGGGGGAGUUGUAAAAACACUGUGAUUUUUGUUACCCUAGUUGUCAGCCUUGAAUUUCCAGGCAAACAAAACAAAUAAAAAAACAACUUUUGACAACGGAUCUCUUGGCUCUC